rnacentral:rRNA from 1 species
CCUACGGGAGGCAGCAGUGAGGAAUAUUGGUCAAUGGUCGGGAGACUGAACCAGCCAAGCCGCGUGAGGGAGGAAGGUACAGAGUAUCGUAAACCUCUUUUGUCAGGGAACAAAGGCGGGGACGUGUCCCCGGAUGAGUGUACCUGAAGAAAAAGCAUCGGCUAACUCCGUGCCAGCAGCCGCGGUAAUACGGAGGAUGCGAGCGUUAUCCGGAUUUAUUGGGUUUAAAGGGAGCGCAGGCGGUCUUUUAAGUCUGCUGUGAAACCCUUCGGCUUAACCGGAGUAGUGCAUUGGAAACUGGGAGACUUGAGUGCAGAAGAGGAGAGCGGAACGCGAUGUGUAGCGGUGAAAUGCGUAGAUAUAGGGAAGAACACCAGUGGCGAAAGCGGCUUUCUGGUCCGUCACUGACGCUGAGGUUCGAAAGCGUGGGUAGCAAACAGGAUUAGAUACCCUUGUAGUC